rnacentral:rRNA from 1 species
GAGUUUGAUCCUGGCUCAGGAUGAACGCUGGCGGCGUGCCUAACACAUGCAAGUCGAACGGAAACAUCCCGUCGAUGCGAUUUCGGUCAAGUCAAAGGAUGUUUUAGUGGCGGACGGGUGAGUAACGCGUGGGCAACCUGCCUUACACCGGGGGAUAACACUUAGAAAUAGGUGCUAAUACCGCAUAACAGGAGAACAUGCAUGUGUUUUCCUUGAAAACCACGGUGGUGUAAGAUGGACCCGCGUCUGAUUAGCUUGUUGGCAGGGUAACGGCCUACCAAGGCGACGAUCAGUAGCCGGCCUGAGAGGGUGGACGGCCACAUUGGGACUGAGACACGGCCCAGACUCCUACGGGAGGCAGCAGUGGGGAAUAUUGCACAAUGGGGGAAACCCUGAUGCAGCGACGCCGCGUGAGUGAAGAAGUAUUUCGGUAUGUAAAGCUCUGUCAGCAGGGAAGAAAAUGACGGUACCUGACCAAGAAGCCCCGGCUAACUACGUGCCAGCAGCCGCGGUAAUACGUAGGGGGCAAGCGUUAUCCGGAUUUACUGGGUGUAAAGGGAGCGCAGACGGCAGUGCAAGUCCGGAGUGAAAGCCCGGGGCCCAACCCCGGGACUGCUCUGGAAACUGUACGGCUGGAGUGCCGGAAAGGUAAGCGGAAUUCCUAGUGUAGCGGUGAAAUGCGUAGAUAUUAGGAGGGACACCAGUGGCGAAGGCGGCUUACUGGACGGUAACUGACGUUGAGGCUCGAAAGCGUGGGGAGCAAACAGGAUUANAUACCCUGGUAGUCCACGCCCUA